rnacentral:lncRNA from 1 species
CCUCGUCCAGCCGCCUGUCUGUGCCUAAGGAGAUGAGGUUGCUGAAUUCCUUCUCUAGGAGUUGCCGGGCCUGGAGAAGGAGGCGGGAGAGAAGUUGGUGUGUGCAAUCUCCACUGGGAGAGCCCGGCCUACUCCAGGCCCAGGGACCGCUCACCUGCGCGUUCUGCGUGGGGAUCUGCAGGAGCAAGGCCAGGUCGGAGUAGUCGAAGGUCUCGUCCAGGGCGAGCAGAGCCCCAUGCACCCCGCUUUCUCCGUGAGAUUCGUGGCGAAUUCCUUCAGGCCCAGCCCGGACACCCAACCCAUGACUCGCUCGUUGGACCACACCAUGACGUCUGGGAACGGAAGGGACCCUCAGCCGCGCUCCCCUAGUGCUCAGGUGUGAUAAGGGAAUGGUGGCUACAAAGGAGAAAGAGACGCCGCUGAAGUCAUUUGGGGAUCGACCUGUUGUGAUGGCCUCAAAUGACAUCCAAGCACCUCAGACGUUCACUCCAGUGCGGAAACAGCAGGUUUCUUCCAUGGCGAAACCCCAUUGGUUGUCUCCCUGAUCGGCUCCGCCCAUUGGUAGUUCCGCUCCAAGGAGCCUACCUCCUGAUUGCUCAGCUCCAGCUCCUCCUCCAGCACCGCGACUCGCUCCAGCGCCAUGCGCAGCCGCUCCCGGACCUGGGGAUGAGGAUGGGGGCAGACAGGAAUGAGACGGAGAC